UUCCCUUCGGAGAGGCGGCGGGCGGAAAGGCGCACCUCUUCUCUGUCAUGGAGCGCGAGGACAAGGCCGCCCUGGAGCCCAGAAAGGGAAGCUCCUUAGCUUCGACCCUGAGAACGCUCUUGUUCUUCACAACGUUAAUGAUUCUGCUGCCCAUUGGGCUGUAUUUCUCCUCGAAGGCCUACCUGUUUGAAGGUGCCUUGGGAAUGUCAAGCCGAGACGGCUAUUUCUAUGCCGCGGUCGUUGCUGUGCUGGCUGUUCACGUCGUGCUGGCGCUCUUCGUCUACGUGGCCUGGAACGAAGGCUCGCGGCAAUGGCGGGAAGGGAAGCGGGACUGAAAGUCGGCGAGGAGGGGGAGCGAAGCCCCCAAGUGCAAAGGCCAAUAGUCGCCUGGGCUUGAAAUGGGACAAGAUGGGUUGGCAUCAUUUCCCCCGUUCCAGUAGCGUUUUCAGUUUUUGAAUUACAGCUCAGACGUCAUGAGCCUCAAGACCUGGCAGAGUUGGGAAGCCUAGAAGGGAGCCCCGAACAGCAGCACGUACCCCGGAAUCCGGUUUCACAAAUCUGUCUGCAGAAUGCUCCUAGGAAACAUUGGCUUGCUUAGUAACCUGCCUGGAACUGUUUUGAAAUGAACAUCUAGAUAAUUCGUAAAGUUGAACAUGAAGAAUUUCAGAGCUUCACCAACAGAAUCUGGAUCAAAAAUGGUUGAAGUUCGUGUGAAAUAGACUUUAUUCGUGUGUCUUUUAGAUGAGGGAGGGGGUCAACUUCUGGAGCCUUGACUGACUAUGCUGGCUACACUUCAUGGUUAAACAGAGCACAGGUGCUUGAAAAAGUGGCUCCGUACACUUUGAUGGAGAAGGAAGGAUGCAUAGCACAUUUUUGCGCGGUGGCUUUUAAUUGUGGCGUAGCAACUUUAUGGUGAGUACCAGCAACUUUUUUUUCUUUUUAAAAAAAGCACUGCUUUUGCCUGUGGGUGUGUUCAAUGUACAAUUCCCGGGGGGAGGGGGGGCAGUACAGCAUUAUAAAGUAUUGUGUUGAACUAUAAUUUUUAUAGUGCAGAAAGUCAGUGGCACAGCUGUGCUAAAAGGUUCCUGGGUGGAAAGUUACUCCAAGUUAUCCAGUUGAGCAAUAAAAAUACUGUUUGUAAUGUUUGAAGUAAGCAAAAUUAGCCUCAUUUUAGGUACCUCUACAGAUCUUUCCCCUAGAGAACAUACGGUAGCUAUUAUUUAUUUAGAAAAAUACUUUAGAUUGUCUCUUAUACAAAAUAGAUGUAUUCAACAAUGCUUAGUUUGUUUUUGGUUGUUUGGGGGGGGAGUUUCUUGAUUUUUUGUUGUUGAAGUUUUCACAAUAAAAGAAAGAAAUCAAUCUACAGGAAAUAAAGAGAAGGAAGAAAUUAAAGAAAGAAGAAACUGAAGAAAAAACUACAAGAUCCUCCCUCAUCACUAUAACUUAGCUUUUAUCCCCUACAGAGGAAAGUGUGCCUUCCCAACUCUCACCUGGGCUCAUCCUUCUCUUCCCACAGCCUCCUACCCUGGGAGAGCUCUCCUGACCCGCCUCUCACACAGGGUCCCAACUGUCCUUCCCUUUCAUCUGUAUGCAGUUCUUACCAAAGUACAAUGAGAGAGAGAAAUAAUAUGGGAAUAAUAAUAAACUACCAAGGGAGAGAAAAGUAAGGACAGAAAAAAAGAGAAAGAAAUAGAUAAAAAGAUACCCAGCUGUCAGUUGGAUGUACAAUAUUUCUUAAAAAUAGUCAGAUGCUCAAUCUGGGUUAUUCUGUUAGUCCUCUACUAGUCAUUGUUUUCCCAGUUGUCCAUCCAGUGCUCUCCAGUUUGUUUACUUUUUUUCAAUGCAGAAAGUUGUGCUGUUUAACUUAUUUUUUUAAUUGUUUUGUUGAGAGUGUUUUAGAGAAGAUCGUUGUUCUACUGAUGAUUUGUCAAUUAUUCUAUAUGAUUUGUGUUGUAAUUAUGCCAUUCUGUUCUGUUAUUGUCAUGUGACACGUGUGAGUGAAAAGUGGCAAAGAAAUAUAAUAAAUGAAAUCGGGGUGGUGUACAAUAAAAUCUAUGAAUGCAAAAAGCAUGAAAUACCAUAAAAUCAAUACAGAAGGCAGGUGGUGAGCUUGAUGCCCACUGUACAUGCUGACAUCUCCCAUGUUCCUGGUU